AUUGAACGCUGGCGGCAUGCUUUACACAUGCAAGUCGAGCGGCAGCGCGGGGGCAACCCUGGCGGCGAGCGGCGAACGGGUGAGUAAUGCAUCGGAACGUAUCCUCGAGUGGGGGAUAACCCAGCGAAAGUUGGGCUAAUACCGCAUGAGCUCUGAGGAGGAAAGCGGGGGACCUGCGAGGGCCUCGCGCUGGAGGAGCGGCCGAUGUCCGAUUAGCUAGUUGGUGGGGUAAAGGCUUACCAAGGCGACGAUCGGUAGCUGGUCUAAGAGGAUGAUCAGCCACACUGGGACUGAGACACGGCCCAGACUCCUACGGGAGGCAGCAGUGGGGAAUUUUGGACAAUGGGGGCAACCCUGAUCCAGCCAUGCCGCGUGAGUGAAGAAGGCCUUCGGGUUGUAAAGCUCUUUCGGACGGAACGAAAUGGGCGGGACUAAUACUCCUGUCUGAUGACGGUACCGUAAGAAGAAGCACCGGCUAACUACGUG
rnacentral:rRNA from 1 species